AGGACUCCGAUUGCUUUGGAAAAGUUUUACUUGGAAGAAAAUCUACUUUUCGUCUCCACUUGGCCCCACUACGUAAGUCCACUUUUCAUCUCUACUUGGCCCCACUACGUAAGGUGAUCUAUCAAAAGGUGGCAGAAAUUUUCGGCCGCGCCAAGAAUCCGUUCAAUCUCGCUUCUGCUUCGAGUCGUUUGGGUCCACGUUGAAACUUCUAGGCCUGUUUAGCUUAACCUAGCCUAGUUUAACUGCUAACAAAGAGAACGCAAAUAACGCACCUGGGAUCGACACGUCGCCGAGCCAGCAAACAUCAAAUCCCAAAAUGUCAGAUCUAUAUGUCAGCCAAGCCCAUUGUCCUGAGCACCAGGAGUCUGCAUUCAUCAAGGGUGAGGAGGAAGAGUGUCCAUACAUCAAAGAGGAGGAAGAGUUGGUUCACAUUCAAGGUUUUAGAAAAUAUCUUGGUGCUGAGCGGCAGGAGCCUGAAUUUCCUGGCGUUAAAGAGGAUGUUGACCUCCCCCAAAUCAAAGAGGAGGAGCCAGAGGCCUGUCAACAGAAGGAGAGCGAAAAGCAAGUUCCGAUCAAAAAGGAGGAGGAGGAGCUGCCAUAUUUUAAAGAGAGGGAAGGUCUCACCAGGUGGACUGAUGAGCCCUUGAAGAGUGAAGAUGGUCCGAGAGAGGCAGGCACAGGGGCGCAGCCUCCAAGCAGCAGCAGCAGCAGCAGCGAUACAACAGAAGGAUUGCAAGCAGACAUUUGCAUUGCUCCAUCAGACAGAAAUGGCACCACGUCACACUCACCUUACAAUGACGACAAACUCCGCAAAUGCUCUCGGUGUGGGAAAGCCUUUGCGAAUAAGAAAACUUGUUGCAUGCAAAUGAGGAGCCACACUGGCAAAAAACCUUUUUCCUGCUCAAGUUGUGGUAAAAGUUUCAGUCACAAGAACACCUUAGAAAUGCACACAAGAACCCACACUGGCGAAAAAGCUUUUUCUUGCUCAGUUUGUGGUAAAAGUUUCAGUCACAAGAACACCUUAGAAGUACAUACAAGAACCCACACUGGUGAAAAACCUUUUUCCUGCUCUGUUUGUGGUAAAAGUUUCAGUCACAAGAACACCUUACAAGUACACACAAGAACCCACACUGGCGAAAAACCUUUUUCUUGCUCAGUUUGUAGUCAAAGAUUUGCUCAGAGGCCUCACUUAACACUGCACGCAAGAACCCACACUGGUGAAAAACCUUUUUCCUGCUCUGUUUGUGGUAAAAGUUUCAGUCACAAGAACACCUUACAAGUACACACAAGAACCCACACUGGCGAAAAACCUUUUGCCUGCUCAGUUUGUAAUCAAAGAUUUGCUCGGAGGCCUCACGUAACACGGCACACAAGAAUCCACACUGGCGAAAAACCUUUUUCCUGCUCUGUUUGUGAUCAAAGAUUCGCUCAAAAGGAAAACUUGAAAGUCCACAUAAGAACCCACACUGGCGAAAAAACCUUUUCCUGUUCAGUUUGCGGUCAAAGAUUCAGUUGCAGGAGCACCUUAAGACAACAUAUAAGCAUCCACUCCGGUGAAAAGCCCUUUUCCUGUUCUGUUUGUGGUCAAAGAUUCACUCAAAAGGAAAACUUGAAAAUGCACACAAGAACCCACACUGGCGAAAAACCAUUCGCCUGUUCAGUUUGUGGACAAAGAGUCACUGUAAAGGCAGCUGUGACAGUACACAUAAGAACCCACACUGGCGAAAAACCUUUCUCCUGUUCAGUUUGUGGUCAAAGAUUCAGUCAGUUGAGACAUUUAAACGGACACACAAGAAACCACACUGGAGAAAAACCUUAUUUCUGCUCAGUUUGUGGUCAAAGAUUCACUCACAAGAGCAGCUUAAAAACACAAGAAUCCACACUGGCGAAAAAUAUUUUUCCUGCUCAGUUUGUGGUCAAAGAUUCGCUUGUAAGGAUCAGAUAAAGAAACACGUGUGUGUUGGUGUGAAAAGCUGUGGCCAAUGACUGUUUUGCCUGUCAUCCAUGGUGGCUUUAUCAGAUUUUGCAUGCAGGACAAUUGUAUUCCGUAGAGCUCCCUUAAAUCCUGUUACGGAUUGGCAUUUUUAGUGCUUUAUCCAAUCGUCGUAUGGUGUGCAUCCACCUUAUUGCCUCAACCUCACCUGAUUGAACUCUCUCGAGUGGCAUUAUUUAUAUAGUACUCUCCCCUCUAAAUAAUGUCGUUAAAUAAAGGAAAAUUAGGAUAUAUUGUUCAGUGUUGCAAAAUGUCUCAGAAAUUAGUUUUUAUGGGUGGGAAUAAUGUACAUAUAAUUUAAAAAAUUACGGUAUUAUUACCGUAACUUCUGGACUAUUGGGUGCACCUGAUUGUAAGCCUCACUGUUACGGAUGGGGAAUAAUUUAUGCUUUUGUUCAGGUAUGUUUGUUUUCCCUUAGUACUGGUUUAUGUUAGUUUUCACCUGUAUUUUUCGUUUGCAGUAGUUUCCAGUCUAGAGCUGUCCCGACUAGUCGACGUUGUCGACGUCAUCGAUAACGUAAAUGCGUCGACGGGCAAAACAUACCGUCGACGGGUAAUGACGGGUUAAACAUUACAUGCGGAUAAAGUUUAGAAUGGCGGGCGCUCGCGAUGCAAGCGGUUGUUACUAACACCCCCAAGUGGGCCGCUGUUAUUUCAAUGUGACCGGCAUUGUCAGAUUGAGCAAAGCGCGCACUGCGAGCGUAGCGCGGAGUUCAGUGGCUGCAGCCCAUACUUUUUUGUUUUGGUCAAUAAAAGUAUCCAGAAAGAGCCAUCCGACGCCUCUCGGUGUUUUUAUGCACGCCGCCGCCUUCCUGAGGAGGAAAUGGGCCGAACCGACGACAAUGAGCCAAGUGAAUCACCGGUUCACUCCUUACUACGGCGAAGAGUUGAAAACACCGCCAAUUAGCAAAAAGGGCAGAAUUGGUGACACGUGAAAGUGGCAUAAAGCCAAAAAAGCGGACCAGAAUAGCCAGAGCCUGGAAUAAUUUCAAGGAAAAUAUGGAGGGUGCCAUUGUGUGUACUCUUUGCUAAACUGAGCUCGCAUACCACGGUAGCCCGUCGGCUAUGAAUGAACACUUGAAGCGCCGUCACCCAAGUAUAAUUUUCGAAGACAACAAGAAACAACAAGCCAGCGGAUUGUUAAAACAAACAAAAGUUGAACAGUUUUUCCCCUCCCCCCAAAAUGCGGAAUGCACACCAGAAAAAGCAUCUGAACUCACACAAAGUAUUCUGAAAAUGGUUGUCCGGGACAUUGCAAUUCAUUUUAACAUUUAGAACAAUAUAGACAAUGACAUGCCACAAAAUGAGUAAGAAUUGUUUUGACUCCUGUUAAAGAGGUGAAGUCUCAGUGUUUCCGUUUACUUUUUUCUUUGCACUAGUUAAUGCCAGCAUCAUUUGACCUCAUUGUUUGUGAUUUAUUAUUAUUAUUAUUAAAUUGAUUUGUUAUUUAUUUAUACGUUAA